AGUGAACGCUGGCGGCAGGCCUAACACAUGCAAGUCGAACGGCAGCACAGUAAGAGCUUGCUCUUACGGGUGGCGAGUGGCGGACGGGUGAGGAAUACAUCGGAAUCUACUUUUUCGUGGGGGUUAACGUAGGGAAACUUACGCUCAUACCGCAUACGACCUACGGGUGAAAGCAGGGGAUCUUCGGACCUUGAGCGAUUGAAUGAGCCGAUGUCGGAUUAGCUAGUUGGCGGGGUAAAGGCCGACCAAGGCGACGAUACGUAGCUGGUCUGAGAGGAGGAUCAGCCACACUAGAACUGAAACACGGUCCAGGCUCCUGCGGAAGGGAGCAGAUGCGAAUAUUGGCCAACUGGCGCGAGUCUGAUCCAGCCGGACCACGUGGGUGAAGAAGACCUUCGGGUUGUAAAGCCCGUUUGUUGGGAAAGAAAAGCUGCAGGUUAGUACCUCGCUGUUGUGACGGUACCGAAAAAAUAAGCACCGGCUAACUACGUG
rnacentral:rRNA from 1 species